AGCAUAUAAGUAAGCGGGGGAAAAGGAACUAAAUAGGAUUCCCUCAGUAAUGGCGAAUGAACAGGGAUGAGCUCAGGCUGGAAACCGAUACAUCUGUGUCGGGCUGUAGCCUGCAGGCAUAGCGCUAUCGGCGGCUCGAGCGCAAGCCUCUUGGAAUAGAGCGUGUGCCCGGGUGAGAAUCCUGCAUUUCGCUCGAUGUCCGCUGUCCACAGUGCUUGUCCUGAGAGUCACGCUCCUCGGAAUUGGAGCGUAAAUCAGGUGGUAAGUUUCAUCCAAAGCUAAAUAGAAGCUCGAGACCAAUAGCAAACAAGUACCAUGAGGGAAAGAUGAAAAGGACUUUGGAAAGAGAGUUAAAAGUGUUUGAAAUUGCUGAGAGCGAAGCGAACGGAGCCACACAUGUCGUGCUGAGAUUGCUGUGGGUCUUUGUGAGCCUUGAGCAUGUAAGCGCAAGCUGACUGCUUAUGUGUGAGCAUUUGCCCGCAGUGUUUCUCAGCAUGCGAGUCAUUAGCCACAUUUGUUUGAGGAUGGCCUUCAGCUCACAUGGUACACUUGUUAGUGUUCCUCUGUGCGGUGUGGGACUCAGACAGGUGUGGCUUGUUGACCCAGUGGUUUUUUUCGACCCGUCUUGAAACACGGACCAAGG
rnacentral:rRNA from 1 species